UUCUAUCAGGAGUGUUUUCUUGUAAAUAUGGAUAAAGAGUAAUGUUGAUGGAAUUUAAGUGAGUAUUCUGUGAGUUCGUACAUGCUCAUAAAGGACUAUCACACACAU